CGGCAGGUGUCGCUCGGCCCAGCGCACUGCUAAGCUAGCCUCGGCCACUGUCCUCGUCCUCCACUAUCCUCUGUCCUUACUGCGAAGAAAUAUCUCAUGAGUGUGCUGGGCCAAAAGAAAGUAAAUUGAUAAGAAAGUUAUUUUUGUUCCUCUCCGAGCGCCUCGACUCCAAGUGACCUUUGACCUCUACACGCUACAGUGAACCCCAGCCUCUACAGUGAAUCCCAGCCUCUACAGUGAACCCCAGCCUCUACAGUGAAUCCCAGCCUCUACAGUGAACCCCAGACUCUACAGUGAACCCCAGCCUCUACAGUGAAUCCCAGCCUCUACAGUGAACCCCAGCCUCUACAGUGAAUCCCAGCCUCUACAGUGAACCCCAGCCUCUACAGUGAAUCCCAGCCUCUACAGUGAAUCCCAGCCUCUACAGUGAACCCCAGCCUCUACAGUGAACCCCAGCCUCUACAGUGAACCCCAGCCUCUACAGUGAACCCCAGACUCUACAGUGAACCCUAGCCUCUACAGUGAACCCUAGCCUCUACAGUGAACCCCAGCCUCUACAGUGAAUCCCAGCCUCUACAGUGAACCCCAGCCUCUACAGUGAACCCCAGCCUCUACAGUGCACCCCAGCCUCUACAGUGAACCCCAGCCUCUACAGUGAAUCACAGUGACACAGUGUAACUAAGUGACCUUUCAGCCUUCGUGAGGGCAUAUCAGUAGCUUUAAAAGGUGUUUACUAACAAAGGUGCUCAAUCGUUGCCUGAAGGAGGUGCUCCAGCGGUGUGUUAUCAGAGUGCCAGAGGCACAUGAGGGUGGUGGCACCUGGCGGCAGCUUCCGGCACCCGGGGUGCCAGCACUGGCCCGCUGCCAUGAUCUGAGCGCUGCCUGACUGACAGUUGAGCGCCACCAAUGAACGGCAAGUGGAAGCGCGCGCUCAGGAAGGUGAAGAAGAGGAUGGUGUUUAGCAAGUAUGAACAGGUGCUUCAGCGGAGGGACAGCGAGCGUGACCUGGGCGAGUACCGGGAUGCUGACCUGGGCUCCGGUUCCCUCUCCGGCAGCGGCUCCGGGGCA